AACGAUGGUGGCGAUUCAGAACAUCAUCGGUUGGCUCGCCAUCUCCUUCACGAAUGUAUGGCAUGAUGCACCCACAUGUUUCCCAAGCUUAUUUUCUGCCAUUUCUCUUCUCGCGACGAUACGAGCUUCAUGCUUGCUAAUCGAUGUUUAAUCCACAUGACUCAUCACUUCUCUACAUGGGACGACUGCUUCAAGGAUUUGGUGUUGGUGUCAUAUCAUACAUGGUUUGUAAUAAAGUAUCUUCACUGCAUGAUUAUUCUGUGCCUAGGAUGUUCAUGACUUUAUGCCUUAAGGUUUUGAGUACUUCUCAGCUCGUUCAAAAAUGUUCAGAAACAAGAGAGCAACUAAUAUGUCAAUAUACUGGAUGCAGAAUGGUCCAGGGUUUAUUUUUUUGGAAAAGAUGGUUCAUUGUUUAUACCUACGCACCCCUACCAAAACUAAAUUAAUCUUUUGAAAUUAGAACAUUUUUACUUUGUGCUUGGGCCUCAGUGCAUGCUGAUUUUUAUGGCUUUAUGCUUUAAGAGAUUCAGUACUUCUCCAUCGUAUAUAACAACUUAUUUUAUUGCAAACAGAUUAUUGAGCUACUUAAUAGUUACAAUACUAACUCCUAUGUAUGAAUUAGGCAUGCGAUCAUACCAGAUGCCUGUAUACAUCAGAGCUCCUCAGAGCACAAGAGGAUCGCUUGGCUUCAUGAAAUCCUCAAAUGCAGAAUCAGCAAUAGCUAUGCAAAAGAAAAGAAGCACAGUCAGUAUGCUACAUGACAUGAGAACAACAGAUGACUACCUAAUCUAAGUACAACAUAAGUUUCGUAUAAAUAGGAUCGAAAUGAAUCAUAAUUAAUGGUUAUAGUCAAUAAAAUGCCAGAAUGAGUUAUAUUGACCAACCUAAGUACCCAAUAUUGUUACGUCCAUGAGACAGUGUGCAAUCAAAAUCAUGUGAUAGUUAACUAUUUCUAAUCCAAUAGAUUGUAUACAACACAGACUGAUAUUUUAGAUUCAAAAGAAGAAUCCAGUAUCAGAGGCUAUCUGAACUUACUUUUGAAUCACGCCACCGCUAGUCCACUGCCUCCUGAUGAUAACACCAUCAAUCAUUAGGUUGGUUUCCAUCCAUCAGUAUGUUCACCCUUGAGAAGUCCAGGCUAGGGUGCUACAAUUAGGAUCCCUAUCAGAUAAACGAAGAACUAUAUUUCUUGAUAUAAUUGGAGGGAUUCCACUACCAUAACAACAGGUGGAUGCAGCUGUUCAACCCGGGUGGGGAGCAUACAAAAUCUGCAAAAUAGGGAGGUUAGAAGAUGAUAAUUUCAUUAAUAGUUCGGUACACACAGUACUUUAUAGAUGGUUGCUCACAUAUCUAAAUGCCGCAUUUCUUGGUUCAUACGUAGCAAAAAUUCCUUGCAAUAUUUUCUAGAACCAGGAACAAUCACUGCAUUGUGAAUGUUGCAUUUCUGUUUCUCUCACGCAGCUUCAGAAGGAAAUCGCGGAUCAUGAGCUUGCGG
rnacentral:lncRNA from 1 species